rnacentral:rRNA from 1 species
AGAGUUUGAUCCUGGCUCAGGACGAACGCUGGCGGCGUGCUUAACACAUGCAAGUCGAACGAGGUCCAUCCGGUAGCAAUACCGGUGAAGACUUAGUGGCGAACGGGUGAGUAACACGUGAGCAACCUGCCCCGAAGACUGGGAUAACAGCGGGAAACCGCUGCUAAUACCGGAUGCCCCCACCGGGUCGCAUGGCCUGG